ACUGCUCAGUAACACGUAGUCAACAUGCCCAGGGGACGUGGAUAACCUCGGGAAACUGAGGAUAAACCGCGAUAGGUCAUAGUAUCUGGAAUGAUUUAUGGCUUAAAUCUAUAUGGCCCCUGGAUUGGACUGCGGCCGAUCAGGCUGUUGGUGAGGCAAUGGCCCACCAAACCUAAAACCGGUACGGGCUCUGAGAGGAGAAGCCCGGAGAUGGGCACUGAGACAAGGGCCCAGGCCCUAUGGGGCGCAGCAGGCGCGAAAACUCUGCAAUAAGCGAAAGCUUGACAGGGUUAUUCUGAGUGAUUUCCGCUAAGGAAAUCUUUUGGCACCUCUAAAAAUGGUGCAGAAUAAGGGGUGGGCAAGCCUGGUGUCAGCCGCCGCGGUAAUACCAGCACCCCGAGUGGUCGGGACGAUUAUUGGGCCUAAAGCAUCCGUAGCCGGUUCUACAAGUCUUCCGUUAAAUCCACCUGCUCAACAGUUGGGCUGCGGAGGAUACUAUAGAGCUAGGAGGCGGGAGAGGCAAGCGGUACUCAGUGGGUAGGGGUAAAACCCGUUGAUCCAUUGAAGACCACCAGUGGCGAAGGCGGCUUGCCAGAACGCACUCGACGGUGAGGGAUGAAAGCUGGGGGAGCAAACCGGAUUAGAUACCCGGGUAGUCCCAGCUGUAAACGAUGCAGACUCGGUGAUGAAUAGGCUUCGUGCCUAUUCAGUGCCGCAGGGAAGCCGUUAAGUCUGCCGCCUGGGGAGUACGGUCGCAAGACUGAAACUUAAAGGAAUUGGCGGGGGAGCAC
rnacentral:rRNA from 1 species